AUUGAACGCUGGCGGCAGGCCUAACACAUGCAAGUCGCACGAGUGGCGGACGGGUGAGUAAUGUCUGGGAAACUGCCUGAUGGAGGGGGAUAACUACUGGAAACGGUAGCUAAUACCGCAUACCAUCAGAUGUGCCCAUAUGGGAUUAGCUUGUGGGUGGGGUAACGGCUCACCAAGGCGACGAUCCCUAGCUGGUCUGAGAGGAUGACACGCCACAGUGGGACUGAGACACGGCCCAGACUCCUACGGUAGGCAGCAGUGGGGAAUAUUGCACAAGGGGCGCAAGCCUGAUGCAGCCAUGCCGCGUGUAUGAAGAAGGCCUUCGGGUUGUAAAGUACUUUCAGCGGGGAGGCGUUACCCACAGAAGAAGCACCGGCUAACUCCGUGCCAGCAGCCGCGGUAAUUC
rnacentral:rRNA from 1 species